rnacentral:rRNA from 1 species
CUACGGGUCGCUGCAGUGAGGAAUAUUGUACAAUGGGGGGAACCCUGAUGCAGCAACGCCGCGUGGAGGAUGACGCAUUUCGGUGUGUAAACUCCUUUUAUAUGUCAAGAAAAUGACGGUAGCAUAUGAAUAAGCACCGGCUAACUCCGUGCCAGCAGCCGCGGUAAUACGGAGGGUGCAAGCGUUACUCGGAAUCACUGGGCGUAAAGGACGCGUAGGCGGGUUGGAAAGUCAGGUGUGAAAUCCUACAGCUUAACUGUAGAACUGCACUUGAAACUUCUAAUCUAAAGUAUGGAGGGGGAGAUGGAAUUAGUGGUGUAGGGGUAAAAUCCGUAGAUAUCACUAGGAAUACCUAAAGCGAAGGCGAUCUCCUGGAACAUUACUGACGCUAAGGCGUGAAAGCGUGGGGAGCAAACAGGAUUAGAUACCCCUGUAGUC